CCUUCUGCGGGUUUUCAACUGGGCGAUCGACACCUUUUUGUAAUAUUUUUUGGAGAGGGAUGAAAGAGUAUGACAAGUUUACCACCAUUUCUAACUCUUUGGAUACUUGCGGAGUUUGAUGGCUCUUCAGAUGAGGAUAUUUUAAUGAUCAAAGUGCGAACAAAACGCGUAAAAUGGCCGAAAACUUGAAGUUUGAGGUUUAAUUUACUAACGAUCAAGAUGUGCACAUGAGACUACAAACCUUGAAGGGAGAUGUGAAGUGACCCCACUACGUAUAGUUGGCACUAUUGACAGAAUUGAUAGGUGUGACAUUUACUGUGGCAAGCUGGUAUUCAAAAGAAAGUCAUUAGUGUUAAAAGCUCACUACUGGUGUAAAUCAUAAAUCUUUCGUUCUCUCCUUGUAACUUGCCUCAACUAGCUUCUGCUAUAUGCAACUUAUGUCUUUACCUUUUUUGCAACUGUAAAAUUACCAAUAAAGUUUUUGAAAGUUU